AGACUGUGGUCACUCUCUUGGGGAUAGACGAGGUAGGAAGUGGUCCAGGGAGGCAGCAGGACAUAGACCUUGGCUGUCAUCUCCAGGGUCCCUGGGCUGAAACCCAGAGUAGUGGGAGGUUCCAAGAAAGGUGAGGUGAAACCUGCUGAGGUAAGGGGUGUAAGAACCAUAGAGCCCAGAGACAGACAGAAGACCUGCUGUAAGGUCACUGGACCACAGCUUGUUUGGACUCUGUUACCCCGGAAGAGAUAGACUAAAGCCUGACCUGGCUGGAAGACCAAGUUGUGAAAAGAGACCACCAAAGUGAUGGAGUAACCAUUGUCAGGGGGUGCCAUAUGGGGAGACAGCUGCUACACCAUGCCUGGCCACAAGGAGGCAUUCCUGUGCAUCCCUCUGCUCCAGUCAGUGAUCAGGGCCUCUAGUGAGCUGGGUGCUGCAUGCACAGACAAACAGACACAGGGACCCUAAGAUAUCAGCAAUACAGGUUCUUCUGUAUUCACAGCCUACACACUACUGCAACGAUUUGUGUACAGAAUAUGCCUUGUGAGGGCAUCCGAGCCGCUCUGCCACCUGCAGCCAUUGCAAGGACUGCCAGCUCCAUCCCUGCCACCACAGAUCUCUUCCCAAAGAGCAUCCACCCCCAGGGAAUCAAGUCGCAACAUGGAGCCAGAGCCUGAUUUGCUCUUUUGCUGGCCUGUAGAAAUCCCUGCCCACAUACUGGGGAAGAUUGUUCCAAACAGGCAUCCCUUGUCACAGGCACAGCUUUUGCAUCCACAGUUAUUUGCAGGUUCAGUUCUUGCCCCUUAAUUAUGGUGAUUGUUUCCAUAGCGGCGAAACAACACGGAACUAGGUGCAACACAAUAGAUAAGCCUUAAGAUAAGAUACUUGCCUGAAAGAGCUAGCAGCCUAAGUAUUCGCAGCAUCUAGAAUUCUCAGUCAAGUUCAGGGCCCCGUUGUGCCAGCACUAUACACAUACAGUAAGAGAGAGGCCCUGCCCCGAAGAGCUUACAGUCGAAACAGACAACACAGAGAGGCCUUGUGACUUUCCCUAGGUUAAUGGCAGAGCUGGGAGUGAAACUCAGCCCCCUCCCAUGUCUAAUUACCUGAGGUGUGGGAGUAGUCAGGUCAUUAGUCAGCUGGGAGACAUUCAUUGUCCCUUGCAAGUCAUUGCAGGUGAUAAUGAAGAGGCUGGAUUGAAGUUGGUAUGAAAACACAGCAGGCAGAAAACAUGGUCACCAGCUAGUUGUAUAUACAUGCAGCACUGAAAAUAGAACUUAUGGGACUGGGUUCGAAAAACACAGGGCGCUACCCAAUCUUCUAAAGGGAAUGCUCUUCUACAUUGAGGGAAUGCAAGGAGCCUGCAUGCAGGUAGGUGGGCCCAGUGUAUUGCAUCCAACAGAGGCAGCAGUGUGCAGAUCACAGAAGUCAAUGUCUCACAGGUCAACUACCAUAAAAAAAGCAUUCAGUCCCCAGAAAUGGCUCUCUUGCUAUUUGCAUGAGUAAUAACCUCCCCAUUAUUCAGUUCCUCAUUUCCAUCUCAGCAGGGGUUUUGACUUCUCCACCCAAUGCACAUCAAUGGGAGAAGGGGAGUCACAGACGUGUAUCGCUUCCGCCGAAUUGGUUUCCUAAUUGAUGGUCACAUUUUAACAGGCAAUUGUGAAGAAUUUCUGGUGGAAAAA